rnacentral:lncRNA from 1 species
GCACCAUAUCCCUCGAGAUGAGAACCAAAUGGCUGAUGCUCUUGCUACUUUAUCCUCCAUGUUUCGAGUGAACCAUUGGAAUGAUGUACCAAUAAUCAAAGUGCAACGCCUUGUUGCUCUCUGAAUCAUUGCAUUGCUUUUCUUGCAUGUUAUUUCAAAAAAUCAUACAAAAAGGGUAUUUUCGUCAUUUCCUGCAGUGGAACCCAUUUUAGUCCCUGUGUUUGUCUCUGAGUCUUUUCAACUUGUUGUACAAGUCAUUGUUGAGUCUUUGUUAAAAAAUCAUUUCAAAAAUUACAUCUGAGUCAGUUUAGUCCCUAGGGGCAUUUUGGUCUUUUCCCAUCAAAAUUUCGACAGAGACGUAUUUUAAAAUACCUCAUUUUUGUAAUUGGUUCAUUUUAGUCCUUUUGUUGAUUUUAUUUUUGGUUUCGCUUUACGUUUUGUCCAAUUUACCAAUUUUAGUCCAAUUUUAUUUUUAAUUGCAUUUUGAUCCCGAAACAGUUUCAGAAAUUGCAUUUUGGUCCCAAACAUUUUAAAAUUGCAUUUUUAGUCCUUUUUCUUAUUUUGCAGAAAGGUCCCCAAGUCCAAAUGGUCCAAGGCCGAGCCAGCCAAAGUCCAAUCACAGGUGUCCCUCUCCCAUUGGGUCUCAAGCACACUUGGCAGCCUAUAAAAGGUGCAUUCACUGCACAAGUCAGAAUCAGAGAUCCACACAAUUCAAGCCACAUCACAAACAGAGAGAAAUUUCUCUCUCCUUUCAGUUAGGAUCAAAAUACAGAAAAUUCACCAAGAACAAUGAAGAACAAGCAAGAACCCUAAUUUCCAGAACCACAAUCCACCACCAAAUUCUAAAAAUCCAACACAGUUCACCAACAAUUUCAACAAAAUUGCUUCGGUUCUCAGUGAUUCAUGGUGAAUCUUCAUCAUUGAACCGUUUUUUUCCUCUGCAAUUCAAGUGCGAAUUCCUCACCGGAGGUGAAGAACUCAAGCACGAUCACAGAGUUUGAGGGAGAAGAAGAAGAGAAAGAAGAUGAAGAGGAAUUGAAUCGGUACCAGUGAAGAAGAAGAAGAACCGAUUUAUUUUCGGAUUCAAGUCAAAAAUCAACAAACAAAAUCAAGUUCAAGUGUUUCCGAAGAUCUUCGCUCAAAAUCUCCAAUUGAAACCACAGGUAAACACAUAAACUUCAUCUUUCUUGCUUAAAAACAACAACGAAGACAAAUCAAUGUAGAUCUAUGGAGUUUUAAGAAGUUUCGUUCAAAACUGGAAAACCUAAAAAAAAUUCAUUCGAAAACCGUGAAGAAAUUUCUAGAUCUACGUUGAUUCGAGCCUUGCAUGUGAAAACCAGUGUUAGCUUCAUACUUAGGGUUAGAAAACGAGUUGAUUGAUGUAAGAUUCAUGAAUUUCUGGUGAGAUUAGGUUACCGGAACCUGGAGAUCUUGCCGGAGAAGAUGAAGUUUCCGGCGGACCUAUGAAGGUUCCGGCCAGACCUUCAUCUUCUCCGGCCGCUCAAUCCAGAAAUCGGCGAGGGAGGAGAAGAGAGAAGUGAGAGCUUCUCUCACUAGAUUAGUGUAGAGAGAGAAGGAAGAGAAGAAAGUGAAUUGAACCGGUCCCCAAUUCCUUUUAUAAACAACUGAACCGGACCGGUUCAAUUCUGGUUCAUUUCUCCUUCAUUGUGGCCGUUAGAUCUAGGGUUUUUCAUCUUGGACCAAUCCAACGGUUCCUGUGCGUCCAGAUCCAAUGGACGUUGGGCCUGGGCCUUUUCAUGUGGUUUCCCUUCGUUUUCUUGAUUUUCUUGCUAUGCACACCCUGUUUCUUGCUAUGUGAACCCUCUGUUGUCUAAUUUUUCUUGUAAAAAUUCCUAAAAAAUUUCUAUGUGUUUCUUGAUGCAUUUUUGAUAUUUUUGUGAUGUUUUUACAUAUUAAAAAUGAUAAAAAAAUAUACGUGAUGUUUUCUUGUUGAUUUGUUCGUUUUUGACUAAACUUGUGAAUUGUCUUGCUAUAAUUUGUUCAUGAGGUCUUGGCAUGAUAUGAAUGAUUGAUAUGCAAUUUCGUGGUGAAUAUGUCUCUGAUCAUGUGUUUGUUUGUACUGUUUUUGAUGUGAUUUGCUAAUUUCUUGUGUUGCAAGUAAUGUGUACUUUUUACAUUUUGGUUAUUGUUGUUGCUUUUACCGUUUAUCUCGUAUUUCUUUGCUUACUUGUUCUAUCAUUUUAUGUCCUAUUCUACUAACCAUUUUAUUUCUUGUUUCAUUCACCUCAUAAGCAUUCUAUCAUUUCAUCUCCAUUUCUUAUAGUUUAGGUCUUUUACUAUUCAUUUCUAUGUUGGAGUUGGCAUGUAAGGUUUAGAUAGUUUUAAUUUCUCUUUUAAAUUCUUGCAAGACCAUAGAAUGUAAACUAGGGUCUAUGUAAUGGACAAUGGACUCUAAUGAUGUACACCGACACAAGCACCGACACGCACACACGUUGUAUGUUGAUUUACCGUCUUAGAUGCAUGCUUAGGGAACGCGAUACUUAGAAAAAUAUUCAUUUCCCAAAAAAUUAGAAAGUUCCAUCACUUGAAAAUUUUUUCAAAUAAACCUUGGAGUCAAAACUCCAUUGCACUUUUCCUUUAUUUUCUUAAGCAAAAUUCAAAUGAACUUUAAUUCCAACUUAGACUCUUUUCUUUAAUAAUUGAACCAACCACUCACCAUUUUUUCUCAUGCCUUUACGGCUUCUUUCCUUUCUUCAAAACCCAUUUUCAAAAAAACUUAAAAUCAAUUGAAACACACA